CCGAAUCGUCGACACGAGUUGUUGCUGGCCCUCAAACGGGGGCAUGUGCACGCUCCGUUUGCAUCCACCCACACCUGUGCACCCUCUGUAGCUCUGCGGUCCGGGGGACCCCCCUCUUCCGUCCGCGGUUCUACGUCUUUACACACACACGUUAAAGAAGUCUGUGGAAUGUACGCCGCGUUUAACGCAAUACAAUA
rnacentral:misc_RNA from 1 species